rnacentral:rRNA from 1 species
UGGGGAAUAUUGGACAAUGGGCGAAAGCCUGAUCCAGCCAUGCCGCGUGUGUGAAGAAGGUCUUCGGAUUGUAAAGCACUUUAAGUUGGGAGGAAGGGCAGUAAGCGAAUACCUUGCUGUUUUGACGUUACCGACAGAAUAAGCACCGGCUAACUCUGUGCCAGCAGCCGCGGUAAUACAGAGGGUGCGAGCGUUAAUCGGAUUUACUGGGCGUAAAGCGUGCGUAGGCGGCUAAUUGAGUCGGAUGUGAAAUCCCCGAGCUUAACUUGGGAAUUGCAUUCGAUACUGGUUAGCUAGAGUGUGGGAGAGGAUGGUAGAAUUCCAGGUGUAGCGGUGAAAUGCGUAGAGAUCUGGAGGAAUACCGAUGGCGAAGGCAGCCAUCUGGCCUAACACUGACGAUGAGGUACGAAAGCAUGGGGAGCAAACAGG